GAGUAGCUGGGACUACAGGCGCCCGCCAUCACGCCCGGCUAAUUUUGUGUAUUUUUUAGUAGAGACGGGGUUUCACCGUGUUAGCCAGGAUGGUCUCGAUCUCCUGACCUCGUGAUCCGCCCGCCUCGGCCUCCCAAAGUGCUGGGAUUACAGUCUGGAGCCACCGCGCCCGGCCCUGAGAUGUCUCCAAGUGGUGGUGAGACAUCAUCAAAUCCUAAGAAACAAUAUACUUGAAGAUUUUUCACUCACUGCAUCAAAGAGUAUCAUGUCUAUUCUCAGUAAUUAUAGCCUCUGACGGAUGCAUCAAUGUUGCAGACACCAAAUAUCCCUAUAAAGAAGUCUUAUCGCAAUGAAUACUGAACUCAUCCUUCAAAACAGAUUUAGUCUCCAAAUCCUACUCUUUUUCCCUGGAAGUUGGAUGCCUUCACAUGCCAAGAUCGCAGGAAGCACAGAAUUCUCCCCACAUUAUUCCACCUGCCCCUCCAUCUCUCUUCUUUCUUCAGUCUUGUAGAUUUCACUAAUAAAAUCGUUUGAAGACCGGACAGUAAGAAAAAA
ensembl:lncRNA novel transcript